CCAUAUAGCUUCUUAGCCCUUUAUCUCUAUUAAGUGAUUCUAUAUUUAUAUAAAAGUUUUUGCUAAAACUAGUAACAAGAAAUUCUUUUUUCUCCAAAAUAUGCAUAUACCAAAAUGGACUAACCAUUGGUAAUUAACGUUAUUAAACUCAAUAUAGCAACCUGCCUAGAAAACACUAUACUAUUGCACGUUAACCUUACACAAGCAAAUUUCUGGAAAGAUUAAAAGAAAGAGAAGGAACUCGGCAAAUCUUAACCCCGCCUGUUUAUUAAAAACAUCGCCUCUUGAUAAAAUAUUAGAGGUCCAGCCUGCCCAGUGAUAUACUUAAACGGCCGCGGUACCCUGACCGUGCAAAGGUAGCAUAAUCAUUUGUUCUUUAAAUAAGGACUUGUAUCAACGGCAUUACGAGGGUUCUACUGUCUCCCCUUUCUAAUCAGUGAAACUGACCUCCCCGUGAAGAGGCGGGGAUAAAAAUACAAGACGAGAAGACCCCAUGGAGCUUUAAACCCAAUAACAACUCUUUCUAAUUAAACCUUAAAGAUUUAGAUACACUGUUUUGGUUUUAGGUUGGGGUGACCACGGAGUAAAAUUUAACCUCCUUGACGAACAGAUUUUAUCUUUAUCUAAGAGCUACUGCUCAAAGAAUCAAAAUUUGACGUUACAUGAUCCGGCAACCGAUCAACGAAAAGUUACCCUGGGGAUAACAGCGCAAUCCAUUUCAAGAGCCCCUAUCGACAAAUGGGUUUACGACCUCGAUGUUGGA
rnacentral:rRNA from 1 species